AUUGAACGCUGGCGGCAGGCCUAACACAUGCAAGUCGAGCGGCAGCGGGAAAGUAGCUUGCUACUUUUGCCGGCGAGCGGCGGACGGGUGAGUAAUGCCUGGGAAAUUGCCCAGUCGAGGGGGAUAACAGUUGGAAACGACUGCUAAUACCGCAUACGCCCUACGGGGGAAAGCAGGGGACCUUCGGGCCUUGCGCGAUUGGAUAUGCCCAGGUGGAUUAGCUAGUUGGUGGGGUAAUGGCUCACCAAGGCGACGAUCCCUAGCUGGUCUGAGAGGAUGAUCAGCCACACUGGAACUGAGACACGGUCCAGACUCCUACGGGAGGCAGCAGUGGGGAAUAUUGCACAAUGGGGGAAACCCUGAUGCAGCCAUGCCGCGUGUGUGAAGAAGGCCUUCGGGUUGUAAAGCACUUUCAGCGAGGAGGAAAGGUUGAUGCCUAAUACGUAUCAACUGUGACGUUACUCGCAGAAGAAGCACCGGCUAACUCCGUGCCAGCCGCCGCGGUAA
rnacentral:rRNA from 1 species